rnacentral:lncRNA from 1 species
AAGUGCUCUAUCAGAGGACAAUGGGCUGAGGCGCGUGCACGAGUCGACCCCAUAUUUUAUUUUCUUUCAUCUUUGAACCUAAACACGCUUUCCCGGUCGGAAUAUUAUCGCUUUUUUAUGAGAAAAAUGGCAUAAAAAUUGAUUUUAAACAGCGGUUGACAUGCUUCGAAGUACGGUAAUGGAAUAUUUAGAAUUUUUUUGUCACGAAAUGCAUCGUGCGCGUCACCCUUCUUUACCAUUCAGAUAGUGUCUUGAACGCACGAACAAAACAGAGGAUAUUUGGAUAUAACUAUGGAUUAUUUAGAACCAAACCAACAUUUGUUAUUGAAGUAGAAGUCCUGGGAGUGCAUUCUGACGAAGACAGCAAAGCUUUCCCGGUUUUGACCUUUCUGCCUGCCCUGACCCUGAGCCUGCCUGCCGUUCUGUGCCAUUGUCACACCACCCUGGAUUAUUGACCUUUGCCUGCCCUGACCCAGAGACUGCCUGCUGUUCCAUACCUUAUGGACAAUGACCUGAAUUACUGACAUCUGCCUAAUCUUGACCUGUCGUUUUGCCUGCCCGCUUUUCUAGCAAUAAACUUUUGUUACUUCGACACUGUCUGCAUCUCAACCCAUUGCCUAUAUUCAUAUAAUGUUGUUCACUAUCCAAGGGAAGCAUCACAGUGCGGGUGUGAAAAAACACAAAUUGUAAAUGGACCUUAAAGAGACAUCCCAAAGAUGAUCCGGAAUACUGUGCCUUGCCAACCUAUUCACAAGUGCUGUGUGUUCAAUAAUUGAAGUGUGAAAUCAAUAACUCAUGUCCUAAAUGCUCACUUGUGUUAUCUAUUAAGCUCUUUUCCAAUGAUAUGCUCAGGGGUGAAAGUAAGGCGGUACAGUCCGGUACGUUGUCUCGGCAAAAUAAAUAGUGGGGGUACCCCGGUAAAAACUUGAGUGUAUCACAAUAAUUAACACAAAAUGCAAAUAGAACUAUAGGCUAUUACACCAUUAUUUGACAUUACCGCAUGUCAGCCACAUGAAAAAUUGGCAAAUUGACUUGAAAUCGGGUGGUAUACACUCGAAAUUGCAUUGUGGUUUGACGAGAACCCUUACAUUUUGCCAAAAGCGGAGAUGAGUGGCCAAGACUGAGACGUGCGUGGACAGCAGUG